rnacentral:rRNA from 1 species
CUGGCGGCGUGCCUAACACAUGCAAGUCGAACGAGAAAGUGGAGCAAUCCAUGAGUACAGUGGCGACCGGGUGAGUAACACGUGACUAACCUACCCUCGAGUGUGGAAUAACCCCGGGAAACCGGGGCUAAUACCGCAUAACAUCGCAAGAUCAAAGGAGCAAUCCGCUUGAGGAGGGGGUCGCGGCUGAUUAGCUAGUUGGCGGGGUAACGGCCCACCAAGGCGAAGAUCGGUAUCCGGCCUGAGAGGGCGCACGGACACACUGGAACUGAAACACGGUCCAGACUCCUACGGGAGGCAGCAGUGGGGAAUUUUGCGCAAUGGGGGAAACCCUGACGCAGCAACGCCGCGUGGAGGAUGAAGCCCUUUGGGGCGUAAACUCCUUUCGACCAAGACGAUGAUGACGGUACUGGUGGAAGAAGCACCGGCUAACUCUGUGCCAGCAGCCGCGGUAAUACAGAGGGUGCAAGCGUUGUUCGGAAUUAUUGGGCGUAAAGGGCGCGUAGGCGGCGCGGUAAGUCACCUGUGAAACCUCCGGGCUUAACUCGGAGCCUGCAGGCGAAACUACCGUGCUGGAGUGUGG